GUAAGGAAUAUUGGACAAUGGACGCAAGUCUGAUCCAGCCAUGCCGCGUGAAGGAUUAAGGUCCUCUGGAUUGUAAACUUCUUUUAUAAGGGACGAAAAAAGGCUUUUCUAAGUCGUCUGACGGUACCUUAUGAAUAAGCACCGGCUAACUCCGUGCCAGCAGCCGCGGUAAUACGGAGGGUGCAAGCGUUAUCCGGAUUCACUGGGUUUAAAGGGUGCGUAGGCGGGCAGGUAAGUCAGUGGUGAAAUCCUAGAGCUUAACUCUAGAACUGCCAUUGAUACUAUCUGUCUUGAAUAUUGUGGAGGUAAGCGGAAUAUGUCAUGUAGCGGUGAAAUGCUUAGAUAUGACAUAGAACACCUAUUGCGAAGGCAGCUUACUACGCAUAUAUUGACGCUGAGGCACGAAAGCGUGGGGAUCAAACAGGAUUAGAUACCCCGGUAGUCC
rnacentral:rRNA from 1 species